CCUGGUAGUCCAUGCUGUAAACGAUGAUUACUAGGUGUGGGUGGUUCUGACCCCCAUCCGUGCCGGAGUUAACACAAUAAGUAAUCCACUGGGGAGUACGACCGCAAGGUUGAAACUCAAAGGAAUUGACGGGGGCCCGCACAAGCAGUGGAGUAUGUGGUUUAAUUCGAAGCAACGCGAAGACCUUACCAGGUCUUGACAUCCAACUAACGAAGCAGAGAUGCAUUAGGUGCCCUUCGGGGAAAGUUGAGACAGGUGGUGCAUGGUUGUCGUCAGCUCGUGUCGUGAGAUGUUGGGUUAAGUCCCGCAACGAGCGCAACCCUUGUGAUUAGUUGCUACGCAAGAGCACUCUAAUCAGACUGCCGUUGACAAAACGGAGGAAGGUGGGGACGACGUCAAAUCAUCAUGCCCCUUAUGACCUGGGCUACACACGUACUACAAUGGCCGCUCACAGAGGGAAGCAAGACCGCGAGGUGGAGCAAACCCCUAAAAACGGUCUCAGUUCGGAUCGCAGGCUGCAACCCGCCUGCGUGAAGCUGGAAUUGCUAGUAAUCGCGGAUCAUCAUGCCGCGGUGAAUACGUUCCCGGGCCUUGUACACACCGCCCGUCACACCAUGGGAGCCGGUAAUACCCGAAGUCGGUAGUCUAACCGCAAGGAGGACGCCGCCGAAGGUAGGAUUGGCGACUGGGGUGAAGUCGUAACAAGGUAACC
rnacentral:rRNA from 1 species